GGCACCCAUUUCUCUCUCUUUCGUUCUUCCUUUUUUUUUUUUUUUUUUUUCUUCC
rnacentral:ribozyme from 14 species